CUAUGCCUACGGGGCGCAGCAGUGAGGAAUAUUGGUCAAUGGUCGGGAGACUGAACCAGCCAAGCCGCGUGAGGGAUGAAGGUACAGAGUAUCGUAAACCUCUUUUGUCAGGGAACAAAGGCGGGGACGCGUCCCCGGAUGAGUGUACCUGAAGAAAAAGCAUCGGCUAACUCCGUGCCAGCAGCCGCGGUAAUACGGAGGAUGCGAGCGUUAUCCGGAUGUAUUGGGGUUAA
rnacentral:rRNA from 1 species